rnacentral:sRNA from 1 species
GUCGUGAGAUGUUGGGUUAAGUCCCGCAACGAGCGCAACCCUUGUCCUAUGUUGCCAGCGGUUCGGCCGGGGACUCGUAGGAGACUGCCGGGGUCAACUCGGAGGAAGGUGGGGAUGACGUCAAGUCAUCAUGCCCCUUAUGUCCAGGGCUGCACACAUGCUACAAUGGCCGGUACAAAGGGCUGCUAUUCCGCGAGGAUGAGCGAAUCCCAUAAAGCCGGUCUCAGUUCGGAUCGAAGUCUGCAACUCGACUUCGUGAAGUCGGAGUCGCUAGUAAUCCCGAAUCAGCAACGUCGGGGUGAAUACGUUCCCGGGCCUUGUACACACCGCCCGUCGCACCACGAAAGUUGGUAACACCCGAAGCCAGUGGCCCAACCGUAAGGAGGGAGCUGUCGAAGGUGGGAUCAGCGAUUGGGGUGAAGUCGUAACAAGGUAGCCGUACCGGAAGGUGCGGCUGGAUCACCUCCUUUCUAAGGAGUUGCUGCCUCUCACAUCUCGUGAGGGGAACUCCUCAGUUGAUCACUGGCUUGGCGCCUGCUGUCCGUCCAGCUCGUCGUAGGUGCUUGCACCUCCGGGGGGCCGGAUUGCGGGAGCCGGGCGAUCCUCUGUUCCGUUUUGAGGGAGUGACUCCGCCGGUUUACCGGCGGUGCGUCCUCCUCCCGAGACCCGCCCGUCGCAUGUGCGCCGGCGCGUUCGUCCCUUGAGAACUCCAUAGCGAGCACGAGCAUCUUUGUUUUUCCAAGCUACGAAGAGCCAACGGUGGAUGCCUUGGCGCCUGAAGCCGAUGAAGGACGUGGGUGGCUGCGAAAAGCCACGGGGAGCUGCCGACCAAGCGUCGAUCCGUGGAUAU